rnacentral:rRNA from 1 species
UACGUAGGGACGAGCGUUGUCCGGAAUUACUGGGCGUAAAGGGCUCGCAGGCUGCGCGUCGAGUCGGCUGUUAAAGAUCCGGGCUUAACCCGGUGAAGCGGUCGAGACCGACGAGCUGGAGUGCUGCAGAGGCAAGUGGAAUUCCCGGUGUAGCGGUGAAAUGCGUAGAUAUCGGGAAGAACACCGGUGGCGAAGGCGACUUGCUGGGCAGCAACUGACGCUGAGGCGCGAAAGCCAGGGGAGCAAACGGGAUUAGAUACCCCCGUAGUCCCUGA